rnacentral:misc_RNA from 1 species
UCACAGUUUGCACUGGCAGUCUUGUUAGAGUUCCCGACUUGACUCGCUGGCAACUAACAACAGGGGUUGCGCUCGUUAUAGGACUUAACCCGACACCUCACGGCACGAGCUGACGACAACCAUGCAGCACCUUGUAAAUUGUCCGAAGAAAAGUCUGUUUCCAAACCUGUCAAUCUACAUUUAAGCCUUGGUAAGGUUCCUCGCGUAUCAUCGAAUUAAACCACAUGCUCCACCGCUUGUGCGGGCCCCCGUCAAUUCCUUUGAGUUUCAGGCUUGCGCCCGUACUCCCCAGGUGGGAUGACGUUUCCAGGUUAGG